rnacentral:tRNA from 1 species
GGAGAGACUGUGGCUCAGGGGAAGAGCCUCUGGUUUGCAUGCAGAAGGUUUCAGGUUCAAUCCCCGACAUCUCCA